UACGUAGGGGGCUAGCGUUGUCCGGAAUCAUUGGGCGUAAAGCGCGUGUAGGCGGUCCGGUAAGUCCGCUGUGAAAGUCGGGGGCUCAACCCUCGAAUGCCGGUGGAUACUGUCGGGCUAGAGUACGGAAGAGGCGAGUGGAAUUCCUGGUGUAGCGGUGAAACGCGCAGAUAUCAGGAGGAACACCGAUGGCGAAGGCAGGUCUCUGGGCCACUACUGACGCUGAGAAGCGAAAGCAUGGGGAGCGAACAGG
rnacentral:rRNA from 1 species